rnacentral:rRNA from 1 species
UACAGAGGGUGCGAGCGUUGUCCGGAAUUACUGGGCGUAAAGGGCGCGUAGGCGGCCUUCUAAGUCGGACGUGAAAUCCCCGGGCUCAACCCGGGAACUGCGUCCGAGACUGGAAGGCUUGAAUCCGGGAGAGGGAUGUGGAAUUCCAGGUGUAGCGGUGAAAUGCGUAGAUAUCUGGAGGAACAUCGGUGGCGAAGGCGGCAUCCUGGACCGGUAUUGACGCUGAGGCGCGAAAGCAAGGGGAGCAAACGGG